GGCCUAGGAACCAUACUCCCAUCUGUCAUGGCAGCUGCAGCAAGCCUCACCCAAGGAGAGUCUGGCUGGAGGCCAAACAACACAAAACCAGCACACUUAACAAAAAUAUAACCAAUGACCCUUGCAGAGUCCACUUAACUCCCCUCCACCAGAGCAGGUGCUGGUAUCCACAGCUGAGAGACCUGAAGAUGGAUCACAUCACAGGACUCCUUGCAGACAUUCUCCAGUACCAGCCCAGAGCCUGGUAGGUCUGUUGGGUGGCUAGACCAGUAUUCUAAGUGAAGUAACUCGGAAAUGGAAAACCAAACAUCAUCUGUUCUCACUCAUCAGUAGGAGCUAAGCUAUGAGAACACAAAGACCUGUCCACGCUGAGUUUAUAGCAACUGUCAAUUACGGUUCAGAUUUUCCUACCCCAGCGUGACUUUCCAAAGAGGCUUCUGCUCAUGGAUUUCUGCUCCAGGAAGAUGCAACAGGAAGGUCCUCACAAGAUGGCUGAACAGAUGCAGGUGCUGUGCCUCUGGACUGCCUAGCCUCCAGAACUGAUACAUAUGCAGGAUGUGCAGCUUUGUUACACAGGAGGUGUUGGAAGCUGUGAAUGUGGAUGAAAGUACCAAUAUAGAGAGAACAGAGUGAGAAUAGAAGACAGCCCAAGAAUCUAAAGUCAUGCACUUGCAAGGGAGUCAGAGGAAGAGAGAUACUUUUGGCUCGGUGAAUGGUGCUUAUCAGUUAACAGCAGAAACCCUCCUGAAAUGGAAAAUGGUUCAUUGUUUCCAUCAUGUACUCUAUGGAAUACAAAGCUCUGAAACCUGUUGGCUACUGGAAGUGUACAAGAAAAAGACUCUCAAGCUAGAGGUGGGGUAGAGCUGGAGCCAGCCAUGUCAAGAUCUUUCGAGGACAUGAACAUUUUUUAUGCUUAUUAAAAGAUGAUGUGGUUUUAAAAUAAAUCUAAGGCUGGGCGCAGUGGCUCAUGCCUGGAAUCCCAGCAGUUUGGGAGGCUGAGGCGGGUGGAUUGCUUGAGCUCAGUAAUUCAAGACCAGCCUGGGCAACAUGGCAAGAAACUCUCUCUACUAAAAACAGAAAAAUUAA
rnacentral:lncRNA from 1 species